rnacentral:rRNA from 1 species
GAUGAACGCUGGCGGCGUGCCUAAUACAUGCAAGUCGAGCGAACGGACGAGAAGCUUGCUUCUCUGAUGUUAGCGGCGGACGGGUGAGUAACACGUGGAUAACCUACCUAUAAGACUGGGAUAACUUCGGGAAACCGGAGCUAAUACCGGAUAAUAUUUUGAACCGCAUGGUUCAAAAGUGAAAGACGGUCUUGCUGUCACUUAUAGAUGGAUCCGCGCUGCAUUAGCUAGUUGGUAAGGUAACGGCUUACCAAGGCAACGAUGCAUAGCCGACCUGAGAGGGUGAUCGGCCACACUGGAACUGAGACACGGUCCAGACUCCUACGGGAGGCAGCAGUAGGGAAUCUUCCGCAAUGGGCGAAAGCCUGACGGAGCAACGCCGCGUGAGUGAUGAAGGUCUUCGGAUCGUAAAACUCUGUUAUUAGGGAAGAACAGAUGUGUAAAUAACUGUGCACAUCUUGACGGUACCUAAUCAGAAAGCCACGGCUAACUACGUG